UUUUAUGGUCGGGCGGGGCAGGAGCUCCUUCGGGGGCGCCGCUUCCUAAGGGCGGUAAGGCCAAUCCUGUUCCGUCCGGCCACCCGG
rnacentral:antisense_RNA from 1 species